rnacentral:lncRNA from 1 species
AGGUGUCGCCUGCCUAUUGGCUUUACCAGAUCACAAGCAUUUCUCAUUUCACCGAAACAAUCAGUCUUCUCUCUUCUCUUCAGAUUCACCGUUCAUAUUCAAAAAUCAAAGAAUCAGAACAAACACGUGGCAAGUCCCCAAACUCUAAUUGGUGGUCUGGCUGUAAUCUUUCCCCUUCUUUGAGCUUCUACGCUGAUCAUGGGGAAAGUAAUUUGUCUCUCUGCUCAGACUUCGAAGCUAGGCUUUUUGGGAAUUUUGAUGAUGUAUCUGUGGGCUCUUCACCGUGGAUGGACUGAUGGAGUUCUUCACCAUAGAGCUUCUGGCC